GAUCUGGUUACUGGCAGGAGGCAUUAAUAAGAAACAAAGGUAUCAAAAAAACCAACAAUAUUUUUGAGAGAGUUGUAAUGACCGAACUGCCACCAGCCUGAAUUAAAAGGAGUUGUGAUUGUUUGAACAAUAAAACUAUUCUUGAGCCCUCAACUUUCUAUAGGCAGCCUGAGGAAGCUGUUCAAUAGCCACAGAGGGCAAUUUUUCACAAAGAGGAUAUUGGAAAAGGAAGGACCUCCUGGAAGGACGAUAGACUAUGACUCUACCUCCAGGAAACAAAACUGAAGAUUGAUUAAGUUUUCUAUACUAACUCAGUUCAGCUUCUGGGAACUCAGCCUCUAUGCUGUGAGGAAGCCCAAGCAGCCACUUGGAGAUAUCUAUGUGGAGAAAAACCAAGGUCCCUGAAAACAGCCCCAGCUGAGUCCUCAAUCAGGAACCAGAAAUAACUCAGAAAUGUAAAUGGCAUGGAAGAGUCUUUAGAGACGAAGUUGCAUUUCAACAAGCUGGUUUUGGGAUUUGUUCAUGUCCUGUGCUUGCAGUUAUUUAUUGCUUUAUAAAGGUUAUAGGUGUCAGGAAGAUAAGCCAUAAGCAACUUAUCAACCCAGAAAGCUGUCGGCCUCCAGGCAUGACCUGGGUCUAGGCCACCUGAUUGGUUCCCAUGUAAUGCAAUAAAAAAAGGAUGUUCUCAUCAGCACAUCAGAAUACUUAAAUUUUGCCUACUUUUGAUAAAGGAUCAAGCCAGACUACCAACUUGGAGAAGCGAUUUUGCCGAGGUCGAAGGCUCCAUUACACCAUGCUCCAAUUGAAAACAGGUA